GAUGAACGCUAGCGGGAGGCUUAACACAUGCAAGUCGAGGGGUAAAUGGUAGCAAUACUAUGAGACCGGCGGACGGGUGCGUAACGCGUAUGCAACAUACCUUGUGCAGGGGGAUAGCCCGUGGAAACGCGGAUUAAUAUUCCAUAGUCCAGCUAUAUCGCAUGGUAUAGUUGGUAAAGAUUUAUCGGCACAAGUUUGGCAUGCGUCUGAUUAGCUUGUUGGUAGGGUAACGGCCUACCAAGGCUACGAUCAGUAGGGGUUCUGAGAGGAUUAACCCCCACACUGGUACUGAGACACGGACCAGACUCCUACGGGAGGCAGCAGUGAGGAAUAUUGGUCAAUGGGCGGAAGCCUGAACCAGCCAUCCCGCGUGAAGGAAGACAGCCUUACGGGUUGUAAACUUCUUUUCUGUCAGAAGAAUAAGCUUGUCGAGACGAGUGAUGCCGGUAUGACAGGAAUAAGCAUCGGCUAACUCCGUGCCAGCAGCCGGGUAAA
rnacentral:rRNA from 1 species